CCACGACUCUGUGGUGCCCCCGCCGUGGACCAGGACCCCAGAUACCGAGUUGGCAACUUGCUGUGCCGGGCUGCCGCUGCUGUCCCUAACCCAGGGAGCAGCACCGACCGGAGAGGUGGCCAGAUGACCCUCAGAAGGUCAGUGUGCCAGCAGCCUCUCUCUGUACCUGAGGGACACCCACAACCCAUUGGCUGUACUUACUCUGAUGCCUUAAGAGACUUUGCUGUCACUGUGCCUGUCCACCCAGGGCACAAGGCUAGCUCUCCAGAGUGACCCACCACAGUCACACAGCCAGCCGUGCAGCAAGGAGGGCGUUGCUGCUGCCCUGAGGCCACUGUUUAUAGGAGCACCGGAGGCCAGGAAGGAAGUCACCCGCCUGAGCUGUCAGACUGGAUAUUUCAUCCCUGUGGGCUCCUGUCACCCUGCUGGCCGGCAGAGUCACGGGAUCCACUUGUGGGAACCUGAUCCAAGGAUCCAGUUGAGAGAAAAACAUCUCCACAAGGCCACAGGCCAGGGCUAAAAGGACUGAAUCCAGUUAUUCUCCUCCAGGAAACAAUUCCUACAUCUGACACUGGGACUGGAGAGGGACCCGGUCCACCAGAGCUGCCUCAGGCAACAAGCAAGCAGGGAUCCCCAGGGAAGCCACUGCAGCUGGGCCCAAAGGACACCUGCUAAGCAAAGUCACAGGCAGCGGACGUGGGCCAGGCUGGACCCUGUCUCCAGACCAGAGCUCUCCAGCUUACACAGCCUCCGGAAGUCUGUCAUGGGUCAGAGGCACCAGCACCCAGGCCAAGAGGCCCUGUGGGUCACCCCUGCAGCUGCACUGACCACACCAGUGACCACCUGUCUCUCCAAGCAAGUGUGAACACUUGACCCUGCCCUUGAGGUCCCUACACCCUACCAAAGGCACUGAGAGUACACGGUGGCUGUUUCUGUCAUCACUCCUGCUUCCAAGGCUCUUCAAGAAGCCAGGAAACUCCUCACCACUGUGUACCAGGGUUCUGCAGUGCAGGGUCCCCAGCUUUACUCUGAUCUUCUCCUGUGUUCCCAGCCAAUGAGCAGGGACCCAUUCUUUCCCACACAGUUCCCUAACUUCAAUACCAGGAGAGGUUACACAUUCAGUUUGCAUUACAAGGCCACCACUCACCACCACUCCAGGUAUCAUUUCCAGAAACCUGGUCCCUGUAUCUUCCCUUGGGGCAGCUGUUUUGGGGUCCCCGGGACCACACCAGUCCCAUGACUCACUAGGAGAACACACAGUACAGAGUCUAUGACCACCGUUUAUCAAAAUGGCGAUCUGUAAAGGCCAGGGAACAUGGCCAGAGCCUGGCGAACCUGAGGGAGCUCCCAGCAUGAGCUGUGAAAGGGCCCCAGGAAGAGGCUCACUGUCCACCCUAAUGGCCACCCUGAUGGCCACAGGCCUAGGUGAUGGAAGUGCACUGGUGAUGUUAGAAAGUCUCAUGAUAUGACAAGUUCUGCAUCUUUAUAACUAUUUCCCUCAUAAAAGACAACCUAGAAAAGUCUGGGAAUAAUAACAGCAAUCAUACUGGGGUUGGGUUUAUUUGCCUUUUUUCCUGGGUAUAUGUAUUUUCUGUAAUUUAUUAUUUUUAUGCAAGAAAAGAAACACUAGGAACAGCCCAGCACCACCAGCAGCUCCUGUUAGUUCCCACUGCUUGCCCAGAUGAGUGGACCUGAGGACCCAUACGGCCAUGGGGCACCUUCUGUCUGCCUUAUCCCCCAGCCUGGAUGUAGGUUCCGUGGGCUCCCACCAGGAGGAUCCCCCACAACCCUCACUUGUCGGUCCUGCUCUUCCAUUCUCUCCCACCACCCACCCAGAAGGCUCCAGGGCUGAGCAUCCUUGCUGGCAGGGUGCCCACAGUUCUCAGCCUUUAACCAGGGUUCCUGUUAAAAUGCAGGUGCCCAUCCAAGGACCAGGGGCCAGGCCCAGGCAUCGAGGGCCUGGUACAAUGCGGAUCCCUGCCGGCCUGUGUCAAAUGCUCAGGUGGACCCAGGGAUCUGCGUUUCUAACACAUUUCCUGGCCUGCCAGGCUCUUUAUCCCAGAGCACAUUUGGACCACGUGGGCACUUUUGAAUCUCUAGUGGGAUUCUAACAUAAGGGCUUGACACCUGUCCAGUGAGUGCUCUGAAGCCUGGCUGGUAACCACUGCCUGGGCUCAGUCUCUGCUCUCCAGCUCCUGCCUCUGUCCCACAGAAAACACAGUGGAUACAUUGCCUGGGCCACCUGCCUAGGUCAGGAGCCAUCACAGUGCACAAGGCCAGUCCUGAUGGGCAGAGGCCUCCCCUGGCAGAGAGGAAGGAUGGCUGCAGGCAACCCCGGCCUUGGUUGAUUAGGAGGUCUCUGGCGCCCCCUGCUGGUCAUUGUAGGACGCCAAGCGUAGCCUGCUGGUGUGUCUUUGAGAUGGACUGCCAGGAGCCUGUCCUGCUUUUCUGCGUUCCAGGCCACCUGCCCUGGCUCGCAACACAAGCACAGACAUUCCUCGGAUUCCUCUGGGACACUGCUCCUGCAUCCUUCACCCUGUCCCUCUUCUCCAUGGUCUCCUGCCUGUGAUGCGCUCUGGACAAAUCCAUGCUGCUUCCACGGUGUGGCCUCUGUAGAAUCUCAGCUGAGGCUGGGAUAGUGCCCCUCCUGCCCCGGACCACAUUCUGCAACGCCACUGGGGCCUGGCUCACUGCCUCCACCCCGUGCCCUGCCUGGCCACAAGUUUCUGCAGCCUCCAUCAUCCUCUCGGUCUCCCAGCUCCGCAUUCUGUUCCGUGUCCUCUAUUGUGCAGACAACAGUGCCCCCUGCCCUGCUUUGUUCCUCCCUGGGUGUCUCAGUCCGAUCAGCUCCUGGCUCAGUGGGCAAGGCCCAGGAUGUCAGGACUGGACACUCAGUGGACAGAGUGGGCUGUUUGCCUUCACCCAGAGCUAAAGCCCAGAGUCCCUUUCAGCUGUCCUCUCUGCUGCCCCUGCUGAGUCACAGGCCACAUGGUGCCGACAACCUCCACCCUGGCCAGCAUGAACCUCUGUCCUCCAUGCCCCCAAAACUCCCUAUAGAAGUGACCAAGUCCCUUGGGAAGCACCUCCCUUCUCCUCAGGGACUGGACAUCUCCUAAUGUCACCUAUGCUUGUUCUCAAGACUCACCAUAUUUGCUGUUUUAAUGAAGUAACUUCAUCAAAGAUCAUGACACCUAACUAACAUGAAAAAAGCCUUUUGGAUGAAAAGUGACCACUAAAGUUAAAUUUUCUGAAAAGGGUCAAA